rnacentral:misc_RNA from 1 species
GCGAGUGGGUUUUCGUCGCGUGACGAGCUGCCCCGACCUGUUGUCAUUCGGACUGGGGAGGUGUUGGAGGGAGGUUUUGGGUUUGUGGUUUUUGGGGUGACCCGAAAGGGGCGCUCCUGGCCCGGCCCGGGCCGCCAGCCGCCCCGGCAUCAUAUACUUCGGCGGAAGAGGUAGGCGUCGACCUGCCCGCCGCCGGCCGCAACGACGACACAUCUUUUUGAGAACCUGAAGUCUGAGGCGAAGAUGAAAACAGAAGCAAAACUUUCAACAACGGAUCUCUUGGCUCUGGCAACGAUGAAGAACGCAGCGAAACGCGAAAGGUAAUGCGAAUUGCAGAAUCAGUGAGUCAUCGAAUCUUUGAACGCACAUUGCGCCUCUCGGUAUUCCGGGAGGCACGCCUGUUCGAGCGCCAUUACAAACUCCAAGCGUGGCUUGAUGUUGGCCGACGUCCCGGGAGGGGCGCGGCUGGAACUGGUUUGCGCCUGGGUGCGGGCCGGGAGCGUGGCAAGACGAGAGUCGAUCGCUCGAUGGACCGGACGGAGGGCGGCAAGGCUUUGACUGUGUGCCUGAGGGCGCGCGGGAAGCAUUUCAAAGUUUGGCCUCGGAUCAGGCGGGGAUACCCGCUGAACUUAAGCAUAUCAAUAA